rnacentral:tRNA from 1 species
GUCCUCGUAGCUCAGUUGGAUAGAGCGACCGCCUCCUAAGCGGUAGGCCGGAGGUUCAAAUCCUCUCGGGGACGCCA